UUGAUAGGGGACUUCAAAUGCAGAUGGCCUGCUCUGUUUCAGCAGAGUGAAGUGAAUGCGGAGUUUUUGAGGAUCACAACAUCACCACUUCAAUCAAAGUUCAUGUGGCAGCUGGACCACUUCUCAGACAAGCUCUUGAAGAUCUUCAAGACCAAAGGAGGAGUGAAGGGGCACAAAAUCAAGGAAGCCCUUGCAAUAUCAGAUUCGUUUGAAAACAUCCACAUCAAGAGGGGGUGCAUCCUGCGAAGCAUCGCGAUCUACCUCAACGAGGG